GACUGCUCCGAUGGCAUAGUGGUUAGAGCAUCCGCCUCAAAUGCGAGAUGUCGUGGGUUUGUUCCCAUUGUUGAGUCA